AACUGGAAACAACCCAGAUGUUCUUCAACUGGUGAAUGGUUAAACAGUGGUACAUUCACACCUUGGAAUGCUACUUAGUGAUAAAAAGAACAAAUUGCUGAUACACAACAACCUGAAUGAAUCUCCAGAGAAUUAUGCAGAGUGGAAAAAGCUGAUCCCAAAAGCCUACAUGCUGGAUGAGUCCACUUACCACCCAACAAUUAUUUGACUAUCUGUUAUGUGUAAAACACAAUGGAGCCUGACUUCAAAAGACUCACAAUCCAGUAGUAGCUGUUACAGGGGCAGCUCCCACCCCAGACAGCCAGAGUGGCACCGCCAAGCUCCUUCCCUGGGAACUACACUCAACCUCUCAGCAUCAAGCCGCCAGAGCUCUGAAC